rnacentral:ribozyme from 1 species
UGCCCAGCAACUCCUAUCCCUACCUCCUCGUAGCACUGGCCGGGGUACGAGCAGCCUUAGGGAAGAUCGGGCAACCAACCCCGAGGGGAACUUUGAUCGUAUGCUGACGGGGAAGG